GCCAGUGUGGUGUAAUGGUUUGAGCGCUGGACUACAACUCUGAAGACCAGAGUUCAAAUUCCUGCUUAGCCA